rnacentral:rRNA from 1 species
GACGAACGCUGGCGGCGUGCUUAAUACAUGCAAGUCAACUGAACUUGAGGUAGUAAUAUUUCAAGGGAGGUGGCGCACGGGUGAGUAACACGUAGGUAAUCUGCCUUUAGGUCUGACACAACCCCGAGAAAUCGGGGCUAAUAUCAGAUGAUGCAGCGGCUCGACAUCGAGACAGUUGUUAAACCUUCGGGGCCUGAAGAUGAGCCUGCGUCUGAUUAGGUUAGGGUCGGAGUAAAAGACCCACCAAGCCUGCGAUCAGUAGCUGGUCUGAGAGGAUGAUCAGCCACACUGGAACUG